rnacentral:rRNA from 1 species
UACGUAGGUGGCAAGCGUUGUCCGGAUUUACUGGGUGUAAAGGGCGAGUAGGCGGGUCUGCAAGUCAGUAGUGAAAUACCACGGCUCAACCGUGGGGCUGCUAUUGAAACUGUGGAUCUUGAGUGAUGGAGAGGCAGGCGGAAUUCCCGGUGUAGCGGUGAAAUGCGUAGAGAUCGGGAGGAACACCAGUGGCGAAGGCGGCCUGCUGGACAUUAACUGACGCUGAGGCGCGAAAGCGUGGGGAGCAAACAGG